AGAGCACACUUCACUGGCCUCGUUCCAGCCGUUGACUGACUUCGCGGCAUACAGGAGGCAACCAUUCAGCAGGGUAGAGCUGGCCAGCCAUCAGACAAAGUACAAAUCAUCUCCUGGUACAAACGCCGUAACUGCUGCGAGAGGCACGAACAAUACGAGCGGAAGCUCUCGUCGUCAUCUACCUCCCCAGUCGCCGAGCACCAAGCAAUAACCACUUGGAAUGGGCAAGGCCGGCUGGAGUAUUUACUUUGCAGAAAUAACCCAUGCACAGCUGACCAAAUAUGGGAUCAAUUGACAGUUAUCGUGUUCCCUUUA